rnacentral:tRNA from 1 species
GUUAACCGAUUGGUCGUAGGUUCAAGUCCUACCUGGGGA